AUAUCACGCAGAACCCCGAUUGCGAAGGCAGCCUGCCAAGCCAUGACUGACGCUGAUGCACGAAAGCGUGGGGAUCAAACAGGAUUAGAUACCCUGGUAGUCCACGCAGUAAACGAUGAUCACUAGCUGUUUGCGAUACACUGUAAGCGGCACAGCGAAAGCGUUAAGUGAUCCACCUGGGGAGUACGCCGGCAACGGUGAAACUCAAAGGAAUUGACGGGGGCCCGCACAAGCGGAGGAACAUGUGGUUUAAUUCGAUGAUACGCGAGGAACCUUACCCGGGUUUGAACGCAUUCGGACCGAGGUGGAAACACCUUUUCUAGCAAUAGCCGUUUGCGAGGUGCUGCAUGGUUGUCGUCAGCUCGUGCCGUGAGGUGUCGGCUUAAGUGCCAUAACGAGCGCAACCCUUGCCACUAGUUACUAACAGGUAAAGCUGAGGACUCUGGUGGGACUGCCAGCGUAAGCUGCGAGGAAGGCGGGGAUGACGUCAAAUCAGCACGGCCCUUACAUCCGGGGCGACACACGUGUUACAAUGGCGUGGACAAAGGGAAGCCACCUGGCGACAGGGAGCGAAUCCCCAAACCACGUCUCAGUUCGGAUCGGAGUCUGCAACCCGACUCCGUGAAGCUGGAUUCGCUAGUAAUCGCGCAUCAGCCAUGGCGCGGUGAAUACGUUCCCGGGCCUUGUACACACCGCCCGUCAAGCCAUGGGAGCCGGGGGUACCUGAAGUCCGUAAACGCGAGGAUCGGCCUAGGGUAAAACUGGUGACUGGGGCUAAA
rnacentral:rRNA from 1 species